GAUGAAGAACGUAGCGAAAUGCGAUAAGUAGUGUGAAUUGCAGAAUUCAGUGAAUCAUCGAAUCUUUGAACGCACAUUGCGCCCCUUGGUAUCCCGAGGGGCAUGCCUGCUCGAGCGUCAUUUCACCACUCAAGCCUGGCUUGGUGUUGGGCGACGUCCUCUUUGGGGACGCGCCUCGAAACGCUCGGCGGCGUGGCACCGGCUUUAAGCGUAGCAGAAUCUUUCGCUUUGGAAGUCGGGGCCCCGUCUGCCGGAAGACCUGCUCGCAAGGUUGACCUCGGAUCAGGCAGGGAUACCCGCUGAACUUAAGCAUAUCAAUAAGCGGAGGA
rnacentral:misc_RNA from 1 species